CUGUAGCCACCUGUUAGCCCUUUCCAUUAGUGUUGUAAUGUAAAAAAUAGCAGACUACUUUUCCUUCCCUAAAAAGUUUUGUUUCAGGGACAUUAGAGGCCAUUGGACCAAGUCCAUAGUAAGGUUUUACCAAUCACUGUUUGCUUAUCCUGUGCAUGGCUCCAGUGUGUUCAUUCUUAUUCACCCUAUCUGUAUCUUUAUUUUCAGCAGUACCAUUCUGAGUUGGAUAGCAAUUUUUCUUUGAAAACAUGAAAUGUGACUUUCUGUCCUUCCAAAUAGCUUUACUGUGGAGAUGCUAAUGAAUUAAUUAUGAGGUCUAGCAAAAAAACAAAGUCUUGUGUGCUCCUAUGUAUAACUAUGAAUACAUGCAGAGCUUGUCAGAUGUAUGAACCAUUAGUACAUUAUUAUGAACUCAGUAUAACCUUCUCACCUCAUUUUUUCUGGAUGGUGCUUUGUUUUGCAAGGUAGAUGGCUAUAAACAUAUGGAAAAGAAGAAACCCGUUACGUAAACUGGAUCCUUCUUCCAGCGUAGCAUUCAAACAAACUUCAUUGGUUUGCUGGAGCCUUGCCUGGAAAGCAAACAGAUAAUCUGCUAUCGCCCCUAAUUUGCAAAAACGAUUGCAUAGGAAGAAAUCUCAGGAGUAGCAGAGGAGCACCAUUGAACAGAAUAUGGAGCAAAAUGCUUGCUAGAUGCCUUUUGUGAAGCUAUUUGUGAAAAUGAAUUGAAUGUUUAGAAUAUUUAAAUAAUAAUAGUAACGAUAAAAUAAUAAAGGAAGCUAGCUGUGCAGUACUUCAAUUUUAAGUUUUCUCCUGGACUUUCACCUUCUUACACUGCUAUGUGAGAUGCACACUUUCUUCAUCCUCACAAUUAAAUGCAUUUCUCUUGUUUGUUUUUUGUUUUUUUUUUUUUUUUGAGUUGAUUUUGAAUGUAAACCAGUAAACUUUGGGUCAGCCCAGGAAAGCACUGGAAAUGGUGUGAAAGAGUAUUAAAGGGACUUUUGUUUGCCACUUCCUGUGUGCCAUUGUAUUGGUUUGC